rnacentral:rRNA from 1 species
UGGGGGAUAUUGCACAAUGGAGGAAACUCUGAUGCAGCAACGCCGCGUGAAGGAUGAAGGUCUUCGGAUUGUAAACUUUUGUACUUGGGGACGAUAAUGACGGUACCCAAGCAGCAAGCUCCGGCUAACUACGUGCCAGCAGCCGCGGUAAUACGUAGGGAGCAGGCGUUGUCCGGAUUUACUGGGUGUAAAGGGUGCGUAGGCGGCUAUGCAAGUCAGUUGUGAAAACUAUGGGCUCAACCCAUAGCCUGCAAUUGAAACUGCGUGGCUUGAGUGAAGUAGAGGUAGGUGGAAUUCCCGGUGUAGCGGUGAAAUGCGUAGAGAUCGGGAGGAACACCAGUGGCGAAGGCGACCUACUGGGCUUUAACUGACGCUGAGGCACGAAAGCAUGGGUAGCAAACAGGAUUAGAUACCCUGGUAGUCCAUGCCGUAAACGAUGAUUACUAGGUGUG